rnacentral:misc_RNA from 1 species
GAUGAAGAACGCAGCGAAAUGCGAUAAGUAGUGUGAAUUGCAGAAUUCAGUGAAUCAUCGAAUCUUUGAACGCACCUUGCGCUCCUUGGUAUUCCGAGGAGCAUGCCUGUUUGAGUGUCAUGAAAUUCUCAACCUUUUCAGCUUUCUUUGUUGAUCAGGCUUGGAUGUGGGAGUAUGCGGGCUUCUCAGAAGUCGGCUCUCCUGAAAUGCAUUAGCGGGACCUUUGUUGCCUGGCUUUGGUGUGAUAAUUAUCUACGCCAUUGUGGUCAAGCAGCUUAAAAUGAGGUUUCAGCUUCUAACCGUCUCCCCUGAGACAACUUUUUGACAAUUUGACCUCAAAUCAGGUAGGACUACCCGCUGAACUUAAGCAUAUCAAUAAGCGGAGGA